GACGUAGGAUGCAAGCGUUGUCCGGAAUUAUUGGGCGUAAAGAGUUCGUAGGUGGUUGCUUAAGUCUGGUGUUAAAGCCCGAAGCUCAACUUCGGCAUGGCAUUGGAAACUGGGUAGCUAGAGUGUGGUAGAGGUAUCGGGAAUUCCUGGUGUAGCGGUGAAAUGCGUAGAUAUCAGGAGGAACACCGGCGGCGAAAGCGCGAUACUGGGCCACAACUGACGCUGAGGAACGAAAGCCAGGGGAGCGAAAGGG
rnacentral:rRNA from 1 species